rnacentral:tRNA from 1 species
UCUAAUAUGGCAGAUUAGUGCAAUGAAUUUAAGAUUCAUAAAUAAAGAUUAAAUCUUUUAUUAGAA